rnacentral:rRNA from 1 species
CCUACGGGCGGCAGCAGUGAGGAAUAUUGGUCAAUGGGCGGGAGCCUGAACCAGCCAAGUCGCGUGAGGGACGACGGCCCUAUGGAUUGUAAACCUCUUUUGUCGGGGAACAAAGGCGUCACCGGGUGGGCGGAUGAGUGUACCCGAAGAAAAAGCAUCGGAAAACUCCGUCCCAGCAGCCGCGGUAAUACGGAGGAUGCGAGCUUUAUCGGGUUUUAUUGGGUUUAAGGGGUGCGUGGGCGGACAGUCAAGUCAGCGGGAAAAAUCCGGCGCUCAACGGCGUAGAGCCGUUGAGACUGGCUGUCUGGAGUGCGCGAGAAGUGUGCGGAAUGCGUGGUGUAGCGGUGAAAUGCAUAGAUAUCACGCAGAACUCCGAUUGCGAAGGCAGCAUACCGGCGCGCUACUGACGCUGAGGCACGAAAGCGUGGGUAGCGAACAGGAUUAGAUACCCCGGUAGUC